rnacentral:tRNA from 1 species
UAUAUUUUAGUGUAUGAUGCACAAAAAUUUUUGAUGUUUUUAGUAAUAGUUUAAAUCUAUUAAAUAUAA